rnacentral:rRNA from 1 species
AUUGAACGCUGGCGGCAUGCUUUACACAUGCAAGUCGAACGGCAGCGCGGGGCAACCUGGCGGCGAGUGGCGAACGGGUGAGUAAUACAUCGGAACGUACCCAGAAGUGGGGGAUAACGUAGCGAAAGUUACGCUAAUACCGCAUACGUUCUACGGAAGAAAGUGGGGGACCUUCGGGCCUCAUGCUUUUGGAGCGGCCGAUGUCUGAUUAGCUAGUUGGUGAGGUAAAGGCUCACCAAGGCGACGAUCAGUAGCUGGUCUGAGAGGACGACCAGCCACACUGGGACUGGGACACGGCCCAGACUCCUACGGGAGGCAGCAGUGGGGAAUUUUGGACAAUGGGCGCAAGCCUGAUCCAGCAAUGCCGCGUGAGUGAAGAAGGCCUUCGGGUUGUAAAGCUCUUUUGUCAGGGAAGAAACGGCUGAGGAUAAUACCUUCGGCUAAUGACGGUACCUGAAGAAUAAGCACCGGCUAACUACGUG